ensembl:lncRNA
CAGAGCGCAUGGUGGCUGCAAGCUGCUCAGGGCCACACCCCCACCCUCCUCCUUGACACGCCCACCGAAACAGCGCAUUUGGGGGAAGCUCGAUGUGCGACUGGCUCGGAGUGGCUGUAACUCUGCACCACGGCUGAAUUUAGGGAACGUCUUUGAAUACUGUGUUAGUUGCCCACUAAUACCUAUAUUAAAGAAUACAUAAAAUAGCAUGUCAUGGGACCUUUAACAAACAGAGUUAACGCUGAACUCUAGGUUGAUUGACCCUGUGCCGACCAACCCAGAGUUUUCGGUUCCACAGCAGCGGUUAUGCAUUAGUUCAAUCAACUCGGGGUUGGUUAACACAGGGUUGUGCGCGUCCACGCCAAACCUAAAAAGACGUUUUGUAUGGAUCAUGGAAACCCUGAUCGAUAUGGCGAAACGGGCCACUUAUUUCAAUGAAAUGGAACUCCAGGUUCUCCUGGAGAGCUAUGACGAGGAGAUGGGACAUUAUCACAAGAAAAGGGAACGCUAAAGCCUCUGCAACCCGGAGAACCAAAGCCUGGCAGCGGAUCGCUGACCGCGUAAAUGCGACAUGCAUCCAAGGCCUGAGGCCCUUCCCCUCAGCCUGCUGUGUGGCCGUCUUAAUGUGUCCCAAGGGGUUCAGGCCUGAAGGGCGGCCCAAAGGCUUCUUCUCUUUCUGAUCCGGCAGGGCGAUGGUACGGGUUUCAGCGCAGAGCUUCCUGAGUCCCCUCAACCGGAUCCUUGUUUUUUCCCGUGACCUGGGACAGGUCCUUUCUGAGGGCCCUGUCUGCUGAUGGAGACAGUGAGUCGCUCAGUCAAUGUUUCAUGAUUAUGCUGACACAUAAAACUCAAAAGAUUAAUGCAAACAAUACAGUACGCACACUCGCGUGCGCCCACACACCACACACAGACGCACACUUGAGCCCGACCGAUAAAGGUUUUUCAAGGCCGAUACCGAUACAAAUAUUUGUUGAUUUAAAAAUCUGAUAUUCCGAUAUAUCGGCCGAUAUAUAUUAAAAAAAGGAAUUCCAGAAAUGUGUAACAAAACAUAAACAAACAUUGGUUAUUUGUAGUUAUUUAUGAGUCC